UAGCUCAGUCGGUAGAGCACUCGGCUGUUAACCGAUAGGUCGUAGGUUCGAGUCCUACAUC
rnacentral:tRNA from 1 species